GCCAGACUCCUACGGGAGGCAGCAGUGGGGAAUAUUGGGCAAUGGGCGCAAGCCUGACCCAGCAACGCCGCGUGAAGGAAGAAGGCUUUCGGGUUGUAAACUUCUUUUGUCAGGGACGAAGCAAGUGACGGUACCUGACGAAUAAGCCACGGCUAACUACGUGCCAGCAGCCGCGGUAAUACGUAGGUGGCAAGCGUUAUCCGGAUUUACUGGGUGUAAAGGGCGUGCAGCCGGGAAGACAAGUCAGAUGUGAAAUCCCGCGGCUCAACCGCGGAACUGCAUUUGAAACUGUUUUUCUUGAGUAUCGGAGAGGUAAUCGGAAUUCCUAGUGUAGCGGUGAAAUGCGUAGAUAUUAGGAAGAACACCAGUGGCGAAGGCGGAUUACUGGACGACAACUGACGGUGAGGCGCGAAAGCGUGGGGAGCAAACAGGAUUAGAUACCCCCGUAC
rnacentral:rRNA from 1 species